rnacentral:lncRNA from 1 species
CUUCCUUCUAGCUCUCCCCUCCUCCUUUCUCUCUCUCUCUCUCUCCCUCUGCCUCUCCCUCUCCCUCUCUCCCCACCGCUCCUCUCCUCCCUUUCUCUCCUCUCUCUCUCCUUCAGCAACCCCCCAUCCUCUUUCUUUCUCUCCCCCUCCCGCUCUCCCCUCCCUCUCUCCCCCUCCCACUCUCUUCUCCCUCUCCCUCCAAGUCUGGCACUGAACGAACUGUUUUGCUUUGCUCCGGGAAGAGUGCAGACACAUAACGUGAAAUCCCGAGCUUUUUGCGUGGUGCAUUUUAAAUGCUUCCUUAUUUAUAUUACCCUCACUCCCUCACCUCUCCCACCCCCUCAGCAGUCCUUCCAAAUUUCCCUAGAAAUCUGUGUAAAGCAUGCGGAGGGGGAAAACAUUUGCACAAAAAGUGAAGGAGCUCGCCAAGGUGGUCAGCUUGUCCUCUUCCCAGAGGUCCGCCUAAAGGGCGACUGUCCUCAGAGGUCACAGAAGCAGAAGAGCCUGGACAAAUGAGCUCAGCAGUCCCAGGAUUGGACAGCUGAAUUUAAAGUCGAGUUGAAGCCCAAUAUUUGGAACUGUGUUUAAUUGAAGAGGAGACAGAAGACGUCAUGUUUAAAAUUUGCAAGUUUUAUUAUACAGUCAAAUGAAAGAUUCAGCACUUGUCCCAAAGGAGUAACCAAGAUGGUAUUCUUAAAAAUUCCUGGCAUCUAUGAAAUUAUCUAAUUACAGAAUUUUCUUUCAUUAUAUGAACUACUCUUGAUUUCAUCAUGAAAAAUCUGAAUUGAAACAGUUUGUUGAAAUACUGAAACUGAAUUUUCAAUUAAGUGGGAAUAUUUGUAUGCUAAUAUGAUGCAAUGUUGUUGUUUCACAUUUUUUCCAUGUUAAAGAUUGUUCUGAACUCUAAAUCUUUUGAAUAAAUGAUACUGAAACCCAGUGUGGUUGUGUCUGAGUAUAUUUUAACAACUGCAUAUUCCUAGAGACUCUUCUACUCUCC